rnacentral:rRNA from 1 species
CUACGGGCUGCAGCAGUGGGGAAUAUUGCACAAUGGACGAAAGUCUGAUGCAGCGACGCCGCGUGGGGGAUGAAGGUUUUCGGAUUGUAAACCCCUGUUAAGUGGGAAGAAAUACCUGUAAGUAAUAUGUGCAGGGGCUGACGGUACCACUAGAGAAAGCUCCGGCUAACUUCGUGCCAGCAGCCGCGGUAAUACGAAGGGAGCAAGCGUUAUUCGGAAUUACUGGGCGUAAAGAGCGUGCAGGCGGUUAAUUAAGUUGGUUGUUAAAUUCCUUGGCUCAACUGAGGACUCGCAAUCAAUACUGGUUGACUAGAGAGCAAGAGAGAGAAGUGGAAUUCUUGGAGUAGCGGUAAAAUGCAUAGAUCUCAAGAGGAACACCAGUUGCGAAGGCGGCUUUUUGGCUUGUCUCUGACGCUGAAGCGCGAAAGCGUGGGGAGCAAACAGGAUUAGAUACCCCAGUAGUC